rnacentral:piRNA from 1 species
CAGGAUGCCAUCAGAGUGUGCAGCUC